AGAUGAAAACAAGCAACAUCCAUCCCACGUCAAUAUUGUGGUGCGACUCGCAAAAUUCCAAAAUGCCAUCUGUUUAAUAUUCGCAGCCGCCAGCUGUCCCACCACCGGAACCGGGCGCCCAUCAACCUCAAACUGAACUUAUCAAACCGACCGUACCUCUAAACUGUAUCCAGCUUUCCAGGAGAAUAAUUACCAUAUUUCAAAUCAUGACCUGGUUGAGAAAUUUCAACCAGUUGUCCGCCAAUUUCUCAAGGCAACCAUCAGUUAAACCAACAUUUACGCCACCAUCACUCACUCGAUUAUUGCAAUUCAGCACUGAGUCUCAGUCUCCGGCGACUGUUGGUAAUUCCGCCAAUAAAUAUGCUGGGUUGGGGCCCACCAAGGGGGACGAAAAGCCGAGGGUGGUGGUUUUGGGUUCGGGAUGGGCCGGGUGCAGGCUUAUUAAGGACAUCGACACCAAGAUCUACGAUGUCGUUUGUGUAUCCCCAAGAAAUCACAUGGUGUUUACUCCUCUAUUAGCUUCCACUUGCGUUGGCACUCUCGAGUUCCGGUCUGUUGCCGAACCCAUUGGGAGGAUCCAGCCUGCAAUUUCUCGUGAGCCUGGUUCUUAUUUCUUUCUUUCUAACUGUACCCGGGCAGAUUUUCAGAACCAAGAGGUUCAUUGUCAAACUGUGAUUGAUGGGGUGGAUACCUUAAAUCCUUGGGGCUUCAAAAUCUCAUAUGAUAAGUUAGUAAUUGCUGCUGGAGCAGAAGCUUCUACAUUUGGAAUUAAGGGUGCAAAAGAACAUGCAAUUUUUCUCCGUGAAGUUCAUCAUGCUCAAGAAAUCAGGAGGAAACUACUACUAAACCUUAUGUUGUCUGAUGUGCCCGGAGUUACUGACGAAGAAAAGCGUAGGCUCCUGCACUGUGUUGUUGUUGGAGGUGGUCCUACUGGGGUCGAGUUCAGUGGAGAACUUAGUGACUUUAUUAUGAAGGAUGUUCGUCAAAGAUAUGCACAUGUGAAAGAUUAUAUUCGUGUUACUUUGGUUGAGGCCAAUGAGAUAUUAUCGUCAUUUGAUGAUCGCCUAAGAACAUAUGCAAUUAAACAAUUAACCAAGUCAGGAGUUCAUCUUGUCCGUGGAAUUGUGAAGGAUGUCCAACCUCGAAAGAUUAUUCUUAGUGAUGGCACAGAUAUUCCAUAUGGUCUCUUAGUGUGGUCUACAGGGGUUGGCCCCUCACCAUUUGUCAAAUCUCUCGAUAUUCCCAAAGCACCUGGUGGAAGGAUUGGAAUUAAUGAAUGGUUACAAGUCCCUUCUGUACAAGAUGUGUUUGCAAUUGGUGACUGCAGUGGGUUUCUUGAAAGUACAGGCAAGCCUGUUCUUCCAGCUCUUGCCCAGGUUGCAGAGCGGCAGGGGAAAUAUCUGGCGAAAUUGUUGAACCGUAUAGGAAAAGCAGGUGGAGGGCAUGCAAAUGCUGCAAAAGAAAUGGACUUUGGGGCUCCAUUUGUCUAUAGGCACUUGGGAAGCAUGGCAACCGUUGGGAGAUACAAGGCCCUUGUGGAUCUUAGGAAGAGCAAGGAGGAAAAGGGUCUAUCACUAGCAGGAUUUACUAGUUGGUUUAUUUGGCGCUCAGCUUAUCUUACUCGGGUCAUAAGCUGGAGGAACAGAUUCUAUGUGGCUAUCAACUGGUUGACAACUUUUGUUUUCGGUCGUGAUAUAAGCCGGAUAUAGACAAGAUUGAAAGGGUGACUUUUAUGUUAAGAAAACAUAUAUCAGUUUCGUCAAUGUGUUGGUGAUGUGUUACUUGAUGGAUGAGAACUUUCGACAGGAUUUCACCAUGGUAACUGAUGCAGCGUUGUCUUUUAAUUUCAAGCAAUGUCAAUGAUUGAUAUUUUACCAUAUAGAAUUGCACACGCACCCCAUUCUCCAAUAGUUUUUACAGGUAUCAUUUCCACGGUGAAAUUUGGAAUAAUAGAUGUUUGAUAUUUGUGUUGGAUGUUCUAGAUGAUAAAUGAUUUUACGUUACUUUGAGGAAUAACAUUUUCUGAAUGUAUAAAACUAUAGUACUUCAAUAAAGGGAAUAUCUUCUACUUCGGCA